rnacentral:rRNA from 1 species
UACGAAGGGGGCUAGCGUUGCUCGGAAUCACUGGGCGUAAAGCGCGCGUAGGCGGAUCGUUAAGUCGGGGGUGAAAUCCUGGAGCUCAACUCCAGAACUGCCUUUGAUACUGGCGAUCUUGAGUCCGGGAGAGGUGAGUGGAACUCCGAGUGUAGAGGUGAAAUUCGUAGAUAUCAGUCGGAACACCGGUGGCGAAGGCGGCUUCUUGGGCCGUUUCUGACGCUGAGGCGCGAAAGCCAGGGGAGCGAACGGG